AAAAAAAAAUGAAAGGGAACAAAAACUUUUGCUUAUAAUUUUACUCGGAGAAUGGCUGGAUUCAUUUGAGCGUGUACAGUUUUGUUUAUAAUUAGUGAAGAGAUGAAAAUAAUGAAACUGUAUGGUGCAGAAAGUGUUUUUUUCAUUGCAGUUUCUGCUGCUGGGAAAGCGGUAGAUCACUAUGGCUUCUGUACCGUGAUUAGUCACUCUUUUUCGCAUCGCUCACUAUUUUCGGUAUUUUCGGUUAUCAUUUCGGUGGCUGCAUUCCGUAUCGGUGACGUUCGACGUUUGAUAGUUCAUCAAAUAGUAGCGCUGUUAUUUGGUCAAUUUGGUCACCUGUCAGCUGCGCUACUGUUUUAGCAGCGCGUUUAGUAGCGACCGGUAAAGUGUCAAGUAAUGAUACUGCGCUGACAAACGGUUUAUACUCACCACCGAAAUGAAGCUUAUGAUAAAUAAAAUACUGCUGCUUGCUGGUCACUGAUUGAAGAUCGUUCAGUGGCUACCGUGGCUACCAUUGGCCAAUCUCACCAACGGGAUAUAAUAAGAACUGAUGCAGGUUUAUAUCUAUAUGUAUUGUCUAUUCGGAACAAAGUUAGUACGCUUUUUAAACCGAUGUUGGAUUUUUCUCCAGAUACAGGCAACCCACUUAACUUUGAAAGUAGUGCGCUGGAUUCGUCUAAAGAUAUGCUAAAC